rnacentral:rRNA from 1 species
GGAAGGGAUGUAUUUAUUAGAUUAAAAACCAAUGCCCUUCGGGGCUCUCUGGUGAUUCAUAAUAACUUCUCGAAUCGCACGGCCUUGCGCCGGCGAUGGUUCAUUCAAAUUUCUGCCCUAUCAACUUUCGACGGCUGGGUCUUGGCCAGCCGUGGUGACAACGGGUAACGGAGGGUUAGGGCUCGACCCCGGAGAAGGAGCCUGAGAAACGGCUACUACAUCCAAGGAAGGCAGCAGGCGCGCAAAUUACCCAGUCCCGACACGGGGAGGUAGUGACAAUAAAUACUGAUACAGGGCUCUUUCGGGUCUUGUAAUUGGAAUGAGUACAAUUUAAAUCCCUUAACGAGGAACAAUUGGAGGGCAAGUCUGGUGCCAGCAGCCGCGGUAAUUCCAGCUCCAAUAGCGUAUAUUAAAGUUGUUGAGGUUAAAAAGCUCGUAGUUGAACCUUGGGCCUAGCCGGCCGGUCCGCCUCACCGCGUGCACUGGCUCGGCUGGGUCUUUCCUUCUGGAGAACCGCAUGCCCUUCACUGGGUGUGCUGGGGAACCAGGACUUUUAC